GAGUUUGAUCGUGGCUCAGAUUGAACGCUGGCGGCAUGCCUUACACAUGCAAGUCGAACGGCAGCAUGAUCUAGCUUGCUAGAUUGAUGGCGGGUGGCGAACGGGUGAGUAAUACAUCGGGAACGUGCCCUGUAGUGGGGGAUAACUAGUCGAAAGAUUAGCUAAUACCGCAUACGACCUGAGGGUGAAAGUGGGGGACCGCAAGGCCUCAUGCUAUAGGAGCGGCCGAUGUCUGAUUAGCUAGUUGGUGGGUAAAGGCCCACCAAGGCGACGAUUAGUAGCUGGUCUGAGAGGACGAUCAGCCACACUGGGACUGAGACACAGCCCAGACUCCUACGGGAGGCAGCAGUGGGGAAUUUUGGACAAUGGGCGAAAGCCUGAUCCAGCAAUGCCGCGUGUGUGAAGAAGGCCUCGGUUGUAAG
rnacentral:rRNA from 1 species